CCUACGGGAGGCAGCAGUGGGGAAUAUUGCACAAUGGGGGAAACCCUGAUGCAGCGACGCCGCGUGAGGGAAGAAGUAUCUUGGUAUGUAAAGCUCCAUUAGCAGGGAAGAAAAUGACGGUACUUGAGUAAGAAGCCCCGGCUAACUACGUGCCAGCAGCCGCGGUAAUACGUAGGGGGCAAGCGUUAUCCGGAUUUACUGGGUGUAAAGGGAGCGUAGACGGCGAUACAAGUCUGAAGUGAAAGUCCGGGGCUCAACCCCGGGACUGCUUUGGAAACUGUGUUGCUGGAGUGCUGGAGAGGCAAGCGGAAUUCCUGGUGUAGCGGUGAAAUGCGUAGAUAUUAGGAAGAACACCAGUGGCGAAGGCGGCUUGCUGGACAGUAACUGACGUUGAGGCUCGAAAGCGUGGGGAGCGAACAGGAUUAGAUACCCCUGUAGUC
rnacentral:rRNA from 1 species